CGCUACUGUGAAAAGUGUGUUCAAAUCAAACCCGACCGGUGCCAUCAUUGUUCAGUGUGUGGUGAGUGUGUGCUAAAGCUUGACCAUCACUGUCCUUGGGUAAACAACUGUGUAGCCUUUACCAACUACAAAUUUUUCAUCCUAUUCCUUGGUUAUGCCCUACUGUACUGCCUGUUCAUUGCAGCAACAACACUACAAUACUUCAUCAAGUUCUGGAAGAACCAGUUGGAAGUGCCAGCAAAAUUUCACAUACUGUUUGUUUUCUUCGUUUCUAUAAUGUUUGCCAUCAGUCUGGUUUCAUUGUUUGGCUAUCAUAUCUUUUUAGUGGUCAAAAACAGAUCCACUUUAGUUUUCUCCCUGUUUCUGCA